rnacentral:lncRNA from 1 species
GGGGACCAGGCCUGUAAGAGCUCCAGGGGAAGGCGUGGGGCUCCUUCUCAGAAGGAAGAGGAGAAUGUCAGAUGGAGAAAAGACCAAGAGACGAACAUUUGCUGAUAUCACCCUGGGACGUGGGAAAGGGCACAGGUUGUCCUUUAAGCUGGCUCUCUGUGGAACUGGCCACCCAUAAAUCAGUGCCAGCAGAGAGGGGACAUCACAGGAGGGCAGAAGACAGCCACCCCCGGCCUGUCUUCCCAGAACCAGUUCUGGGGCGGAUGUGACUUCCCACCAGUGAGAA